AACGAACGCUGGCGGCAGGCUUAACACAUGCAAGUCGAGCGCCCCGCAAGGGGAGCGGCAGACGGGUGAGUAACGCGUGGGAAUCUACCCAUCUCUACGGAAUAACGCAUGGAAACGUGUGCUAAUACCGUAUACGUCCUUCGGGAGAAAGAUUUAUCGGAGAUGGAUGAGCCCGCGUUGGAUUAGCUAGUUGGUGGGGUAAAGGCCUACCAAGGCGACGAUCCAUAGCUGGUCUGAGAGGAUGAUCAGCCACACUGGGACUGAGACACGGCCCAGACUCCUACGGGAGGCAGCAGUGGGGAAUAUUGGACAAUGGGCGCAAGCCUGAUCCAGCCAUGCCGCGUGAGUGAUGAAGGCCUAGGGUUGUAAAGCUCUUUCACCGGUGAAGAUAAUGACGGUAACCGGUGAAGAAGCCCCGGCUAACUUCGUGCCAGCCGCCGCGGUAAUAC
rnacentral:rRNA from 1 species